GCCUGGCUAAUUUUUUGUAUUUUUAGUAGAAAAUUUUCAGCUUCACCUCUUUUGAAUUUCUGCUCUCCUGCCUGUUCUUUAGCUAUCCGUGGUCCUGAACCAGUUAUGUGUGUUGCAUGAGAAAACGCCAGUAAGUGACAGAGUCACCAAAUGCUGCACAGAAUCCUUGGUGAACAGGCGACCAUGCUUUUCAGCUCUGGAAGUCGAUGAAACAUACGUUCCCAAAGAGUUUAAUGCUGAAACAUUCACCUUCCAUGCAGAUAUAUGCACACUUUCUGAGAAGGAGAGACAAAUCAAGAAACAAACUGCACUUGUUGAGCUCGUGAAACACAAGCCCAAGGCAAC
rnacentral:lncRNA from 1 species